UACGGGGGGGGCAAGCGUUGUUCGGAAUUACUGGGCGUAAAGGGCUCGUAGGCGGCCAACUAAGUCAGACGUGAAAUCCCUCAGCUUAACUGGGGAACUGCGUCUGAUACUGGAUGGCUUGGAUUUGGGAGAGGAAUGCGGAAUUCCAGGUGUAGCGGUGAAAUGCGUAGAUAUCUGGAGGAACACCGGUGGCGAAGGCGGCAUUCUGGACCAAUAUUGACGCUGAGGAACGAAAGCCAGGGGAGCAAACGGG
rnacentral:rRNA from 1 species